UGUAGGAGCGAGCUUGCUCGCGAUGGUGUGUCAUUCAGCCUGAUGUCGACUGACACACCAUCGCGAGCAGGCUCGCUCCUACA
rnacentral:misc_RNA from 1 species